AGCUUGGUAGAGUACUUGGUUUGGGACCAAGGUGUCGCAGGUUCGAAUCCUGUCUUCCCGA
rfam:Streptococcus sinensis strain HKT4 scaffold26, whole genome shotgun sequence.